rnacentral:rRNA from 1 species
UACGGGGGGGGGCAAGCGUUGUUCGGAAUUACUGGGCGUAAAGGGCUCGUAGGCGGCCAACUAAGUCGGAUGUGAAAAUCCCCCAGGCUUAACCUGGGGAACUGCAUCCGAUACUGGAUGGCUUGAAUCCGGGAGAGGGAUGCAGAAUUCCAGGUGUAGCGGUGAAAAUGCGUAGAUAUCGGGAAAGGAAACACCCAGUGGGCGAAAAAGCGGCUUUCCUGGUCCCAGCACCGACGUCAGGCACGAAAAGCGUGGGGGAGCAAAACAGGG